rnacentral:RNase_P_RNA from 2 species
CCAGGGGGCUGGGCAGCCGCGGCGCUGAUGCGUCGAGGAAAGUCCGGGCUCCACGAAACAAGGGUGGCGGGUAACGCCCGCCCGCGCCGGGCAACCGGCGUGAGGGACAGUGCCACAGAGAGCAGACCGCCGAUGGGGUGACCGCCUCGUGCGGGCAUCAACAGGCAAGGGUGAAAGGGUGCGGCAAGAGCGCACCGGGGUUCCGGCAACGGCGCCCGCGACGGCAAACCCCACCCGGAGCAAGACCGAAUAGGGGUCUCGCACCUGCUUGCAGGCAGGGGUGUUUCGCCCCGAGAGACCCGGGUUGGUUGCUAGAGCGCGCCGGGCAACCGGCCGCCCAGAUGAAUGGCUGCCCCUCGCGUCUGCGAGGACAGAACCCGGCUUACAGGCCCCCUGGCACC